rnacentral:rRNA from 1 species
CCCUUAGAUGUCCUGGGCCGCACGCGCGCUACACUGAACGGAUCAGCGCGUUUUCCCUUCCCGAGAGGGACGGGUAACCUGCUGAACCCCGUUCGUGGUAGGGAUCGGGGCUUGCAAUUAUUCCCCGUGAACCAGGAAUGCCCACUAAGUGCAAGUCAUAAGCUUGCGUUGAUUACGUCCCUGCCCUUUGUACACACCGCCCGUCGCUACUACCGAUUGAACGUUUUAGUGAGGUACUCGGACUGAGCCUCAGAAGAUUCACGUCUUUUGUGCUGCUCGGGAAGAUUCCCAAACUUGAGCGUUUAGAGGAAGUAAAAGUCGUAACA